UAUAAACACAUAUAUUUAAUUUUAAAAAUACCGUUACUACAAUAUAAUAAUAAAUGAAAUAAGUGUGGAUUAGCAAUAACUUUGUGUCCUAGGGCCUUUGUCGUCCAACUUCGACGUAUCACGUGUACAAGGAGUGCAACAGGUUGAUCUGGCCAACAAGCGCAGUUGAAAUUCGUCUUAAAAUCUAUUUUUGAACAUUUAAUUACCAUACAGCCGUACAUAUGUAUAUGCACAUAAAUAAAUAAACAUAUCAAUAUGUGUACUUCUGUAACCACAAUAUACCCGCAGCAGUAAAUACAUAUAUCGUUUAAUAAUUUGUUUGCUUAACACAUUUAAGCCCACAUUCUGACGAUUACUUGGAAAUCGCUCGCUCUUGCCGAAGGCUGAGCGCGACCAAAUGAACGAACAGGUGCUCCCAGCAGCUCAGUUGUACUCUUUUAGUUGGAACACUACCAUAACACCAAUCAAGCCGGUUCAACGCACAUCCGCACAAACCAAACUCACAGCCGAUGCCAAGACGAGUAUUUAGAAGCUGGGUUUUCCGAGCUUUGAAUUUAUGAAUAUCACGUUCUGCUCUCUAGUGGACUUUUUGCUCGGAGUCGGGUUUUAAACGCGUCACAGCGACAGUGAGCACAGUUACGCUUGUCAGCCAAUACACCACUUAAAAGUUUCGCUAAAUACAUUAUCAACAAUCGGUGUGCGUCUGCCCAGCUAAGAGCGAUUGAAGCAAUGUGGUUGUUAUUGUAGUUUUAUGAUAAUUCAAUUAAUACAAUUUUUAUGUAAAAUGAGCUGAACAUCGUCGGUUUCAUGGUUCACGUUUAGCUUCCUCGGCAGUACUAACUUUUAAAAAUAUUAACGAAUCCUCAGGAGAUUGCAUACAUAAAAUAUUUUCUUCAGAACUAGAGUGUGGGGCGAAUUUAUAGAGAGAACAUCUCCAUUUUAUUCGGUUCAUCGCAAUGUUAACAGUUGUAAAAGCACACAUAUAUACAAGUGGAGCAGCGUGAUGGAGAAUUCACAGCUUCAGGUACGAAUACUCGGGUUCGAUAUCGCUUGAUCGAGUGAGCUUCACUCAGUUGAUCACAAACGCUUCACCGCACCGCCAAUACCACAUAUACCGGUACGGAGAAACGCAGGCCUGUGGUGACUUGCUUGCUAAGUACAUAGAGUUUUUGUGUAGAGAUUUUGAGAAAAUACCGAGCAAAAAACCCUAUAAUUUGUUGUUGUUGCUUCCAGUGGAAACGAGUUGUGCGUGCCCCAUCAAUAAAUAUACAAAUGAAUUAAUAAAAAGGCAUUUAAUUGCCAUGCAAAUGAAUGUGUAAUUAAGUAAAUAAAUAUUUAUGAGUGAAACGAAAAAUGGAUAUUUUACAUUAAGCUUUUGUUGGCAUUUAACGAGUACGAAAAAGAGCUUUAAGUGAGCAACGGAGUUUCGACGUGGUCAUGAGAAGAGGGUGGGAAUCACUGCAUUACACACCCACACAAGUAAAUCAAAAUGAAAACAAAAAAAUGAAAAAACUAUUUGAAGAUAAUGUUCAUGUGUGCAUGCAUUUAAGAAUAAAAAGUGUGAAUUAAGACGCUCCAAAGAGUGUUGUGCUAUUUAGUGUAAAACAAUAACAAACUUAAUUUAAAAGGAUAAAUCUUUAAAAUUCUCCUACAAAGGACUAUUGUUUUGCCAACACAAAAAACUCAAUUCUAUAGCCCCUAAGCGAAGAGAUAGUUGUGACAUGUCACCGGAUAUACAAACAUUGUGAUAAUACGUAUCAAAAGCAUAUCGGCAAAGAUAACUGAGGGCUGUUGAAAAUAUGUAAUGCAAUAAAAACGAAAGUACAUGUCUUAGUAAUAGCAGUAUUCGUAACACAAGUAUUGAUUACGACAUUUAAUACAAUGAUUAACAAAAAAUGUAUUUAAAGAAUGAUAAUGAAAUGAACUCAAAUCCGAAAACAAGUGCCCAUCUGAAUGUUGAAACAGUAGCAGUGAAGCCAAAUGCAUUUAGUGCCACAUCAGCAGGAGAGGAGGCACCAAUAACACCCUCAACAUCGUCAGCUGGCAGUUACGUCUCUUCAACAGACUCUGGCGUUAUCAUUACCGACUACAAAACUCUACAAAUCAACAAUGUAGAUAUCAAUCGCGACAACUUCAAUUGCAAUGGUACAAGUGGCAACAUCGCAAAAGAUAAGAGCCACAGCAAUAUCGCCGACUGCUAUGACGACAAGCGGAGGCGUAGUGUGGGAAGUUUGAAAACAAACAACAAUAUUACAAUAAAUACACAAAUUGAUAAUAAUAGCAUAAGUAUUGAAAAUGUAAUCAAUGUGCGGAGGCAACGUAACUCAUCCGGCAGCAGGGCGUCUUCGAAGAAUGGCUCGCCGGCUGUGUCGAUACGCAGUAACACCAUAUCGAUCAUAUCGAUUGAUGAAAAUGCCAUCGACUCCAGUGUCGUCGACUCGGACUCGGACUUUGAAGGACAUCACAGCGGGUGCGUCGUGAAAAAGCUCGGUCAGCAAACAACCUACGAACCAAACCACCCUAAUUUGCCGAAUAUUAAUAAAGGCAUGCAAGUGCUAAGUCAGACUAUAAGUCCAGGUGCAAUAGCCCCAACAGCCGGUCCGCUAUCCGAGACGAUAAUCAAUGGAGGUGCGCUUGCACCGCCCAUACUCGGCCCUCCCAUGCCGCCGAAUUCCGCACAAAUCGGUAGCAUCGCACUCUCGAAUUCCACAGAUGUUACCUUCGGCGAUAAGCAUUUUUAUGAGGGCCCCGUAACGAUACAACAGUUUCUCAUUGAUAGUCGUGAUAAAUGGAAAAACGGUGAAGAUGGAAGUGAUAAUCCUGCUUUCACUGGCGAUCCAGAAAACGCCGAAAAAUCAAAUAAUUCGUCUACACCGCCCGAAACUUCAUAUAUAUUCAAUUUUCAUCGGCGAGCUGUCAUCAUUACAGGCGCUGUAAUACUACUUACAAUAUUAGCUGGAAUAGCUAUAGUCACCGUGAAUGCUUUCACAAAACAGACGAUUCGAAAAAGUAAGCUUUUAGGCGAUGGCGACGAUUCCAGAAAGCAUAUUCCAAUCAAUUCAACAAUAGCACCUUUGCCGGAUGGGGACUACAAAUUUAAUGGCACGUUACUGAUAGUCAGCAAGGAUGAAUGGUUUGCCGAGGCAGAACACAAAGGCGUUAAAAAGUUAAAACUGCCAGUGCAACGCGUCAUUAUCGCACACACUGCAUCAACAUCGUGUGAGAAUAAGCUUCAAUGCGAUGCUCGGGUACAAAGUGUGCAAGCCUUUCAUAUACACUCAAAUGGUUGGGGCGAUAUCGGAUAUAAUUUUCUAGUUGGAGGCGAUGGUUUGGUAUAUGAAGGACGUGGCUGGCAUAACGAAGGAGCCCACACCUUGGGCUAUAACAAAGAUAGCAUCUGUAUUGCAUUCAUCGGUACAUUUAAUGUGGAAGUGCCCACAGAAAACGACUUGAACGCAGCCCAAUUACUCAUCGACGAAGGAGUGAGAUUAGGAGUGCUUCCAGAGAACUACCGACUUUACGGAGCCCGUCAACUAAGUGCCACUGAAAGUCCCGGAAAAAAACUUUAUAGCAUAAUAAUGACGUGGUCUCACUGGAGCAAACUCGUUUAAACGGAGUACAGAUAUUUUAAAUUAAAUUUCAAUACGGCAAUAAUUACUAGUGUCAUUGGAUUGUAUAAUUUUAUGCUUUGUAUAGUAGUUUAUUCUUGCUUGUAUUUAUAUAAUUAGUAUACCUGAAUUUAAAGCAAAUAUACAGUUACAUAUUUAUACUAUAUUACAUCGUAUUUUAUAUACACCGCUGAAACAAUGCAUAAUAUUAUCAUUUCAUUCCAUCUUAGUGUAUUGGCAUCCUAAUUACUUUUUCUUUGAACUCUUAAAUGUGUAAUCAUCGUUCAUAAAAUAAAAAUUAUCAAAUUUGUACCAGUCUAGGUACACACUAAAACAAAAGAAAACUUUUUGAAUUUCCUAACACGAUUUGUGCCUAUAUUUUGCAGCAGAUGAUAACGUGGGAGGGGGCAAGAUAUUGCGAAUAGUACCACGUGAUGCCUGGUUAGCUCAGCCGCCUUCAAGUGAUCCGUUACCUUUGACGACGCCCGUCAAAAAAGUUAUUGUCCUACCUACUCGCACUGAUGAUUGCGAAACGCAAGCCAUGUGCGUGUACCGAGUGCGCAUGACACAAACUCUAAACAUCGAAUCCCAAAAUCACGAUGAUAUUAUCUACAACUUCCUAAUUGGCGGCGAUGGCAAUGUGUAUGAAGGUCGUGGAUGGGAUGUGAUCGGUGCCCAUUUGCGCGGCUUCAAUUCGGACAGUAUUAGUUUCGCCUACAUUGGUACUUUUAAAAAGCAGAAACCUUCGGAAAAGCAAAUGGACGUCACCAAAUUGCUGCUUGCCGAGGGUGUAAGACUUGGUAAACUCUCAAAGGAUUACAAGAUAUAUGGAGCGUUUAUGUUGGAUCCAACUUCGACGGAUGUUCAGUCAGAUGAGUUGUACAACAGCUUUAAGGGUUGGCCUCAUUGGUCUGAAUACAUAGCUAACUAAGGCACAAUAUAUAAAAAGUGUUUUUUCUAAACUAAUAAGUUUUAUAUUUGUACAUUAGUAAAUACAUACAUAUAUAAUAAUAAUAAUAAAAAAUAAUAAUUGUGAACGUUAGCUUUUAAGUCAGAUUUAACAAUUCAAAGAAAAACUCAACCGAACUUGCAAGCUCAUUUUGAUUUGAUUUGGUAGUAGUUGUACCGGCAUCGCUGGUUUUUAUAGAUCACUGGAAUCCAUACAAAUCUUAUUAUUAAUAUUUUUAUGAAAUUUCUGAAUUUCUGUCAUAAUAAUUACAAUCAUUUUUUCUAGUCAAAAAUAAAAGCAUUUAAACAAAAGAUUUUUUACAAAACUUAUAUUUAUAUUGUAAAGUAUUAGUAAAUUAUUAUUUUAUGCAAAUUCAUAAAUGUAAAAAUUAAACAUGUUUUUUUUAUAAAUGCUCUGGAUUGCCUUGUUUGCUUUCAACAUUUCAUUUUGAAAAUACUAGUUAUUGAGUUGUGUGGACUGCAAGAAUAGCUCAUCCAUGUUGCCAAAUUGAAAUCAUUACUAGGCAGAGGGGACAUAUCAUUUGUAAUUCGCAUAAAAUUAUAUAAUUUGUUAUAUUUGAAGUAGCUCUUAAUGGCAAUUUUGUAAUGUUAAAAUUAUAUAUCAUUAUAUAUUAAUAAAAACAACCUAAACUCUA